GACGAACGCUGGCGGCGUGCUUAACACAUGCAAGUCGAACGAAGUGGCGAACGGGUGAGUAACGCGUAAUCAACCUGCCCUUCAGAGGGGGACAACAGUUGGAAACGACUGCUAAUACCGCAUACUGAAGGAGGGGAUUGCGUCUGAUUAGCUAGUUGGAGGGGUAACGGCCCACCAAGGCGAUGCUCAGUAGCCGGGCGGAGGAGGUGAACGGGCACAAUGGGACUGAGACGCGGCCCAGACUCGUACGGGAGGAAGCAGUGGGGAAUCGUCCGAAAUGGACGAAAGUCUGACGGAGCAACGCCGCGUGAGUGAUGACGGCCUUCGGGUUGUAAAACUCUGUUAAUCGGGGCGCGGUACCGGAAUAGAAAGCAACGGCUAACUACGUGCCAGCAGCCGCGGUAAUUC
rnacentral:rRNA from 1 species